UACGGAGGGUGCAAGCGUUAUCCGGAUUCACUGGGUUUAAAGGGUGCGUAGGUGGGUCUGUAAGUCAGUGGUGAAAUCUUCGGGCUUAACCCGGAAACUGCCAUUGAUACUAUUUAUCUUGAAUACUCUGGAGGUAAGCGGAAUAUGUCAUGUAGCGGUGAAAUGCUUAGAUAUGACAUAGAACACCAAUUGCGAAGGCAGCUUACUACAUAGUUAUUGACACUGAGGCACGAAAGCGUGGGGAUCAAACAGG
rnacentral:rRNA from 1 species